rnacentral:rRNA from 1 species
UGAGGAAUAUUGUUCAAUGGGCGAGAGCCUGAACCAGCCAAGUAGCGUGCAGGAUGACGGCCCUAUGGGUUGUAAACUGCUUUUAUGUGGGGAUAAAGUGCGUGACGUGUCAUGCAUUGCAGGUACCACAUGAAUAAGGACCGGCUAAUUCCGUGCCAGCAGCCGCGGUAAUACGGAAGGUCCGGGCGUUAUCCGGAUUUAUUGGGUUUAAAGGGAGCGUAGGCUGUCUAUUAAGCGUGUUGUGAAAUUUACCGGCUCAACCGGUGGCUUGCAGCGCGAACUGGUCGACUUGAGUAUGCAGGAAGUAGGCGGAAUUCAUGGUGUAGCGGUGAAAUGCUUAGAUAUCAUGGCGAACUCCGAUUGCGCAGGCAGCUUACUGUAGCAUAACUGACGCUGAUGCUCGAAAGUGCGGGUAUCAAACAGG